rnacentral:rRNA from 1 species
AGCGAACGCUGGCGGCAGGCCUAACACAUGCAAGUCGAACGAACUCUUCGGAGUUAGUGGCGGACGGGUGAGUAACACGUGGGAACGUGCCUUUUGGUUCGGAAUAACUCAGGGAAACUUGUGCUAAUACCGAAUGUGCCCUUCGGGGGAAAGAUUUAUCGCCAUUAGAGCGGCCCGCGUCUGUUUAGCUAGUUGGUGAGGUAACGGCUCACCAAGGCGACGAUCAGUAGCUGGUCUGAGAGGAUGACCAGCCACACUGGGACUGAGACACGGCCCAGACUCCUACGGGAGGCAGCAGUGGGGAAUCUUGCGCAAUGGGCGAAAGCCUGACGCAGCCAUGCCGCGUGAAUGAUGAAGGUCUUAGGAUUGUAAAAUUCUUUCACCGGGGACGAUAAUGACGGUACCCGGAGAAGAAGCCCCGGCUAACUUCGUG